rnacentral:tRNA from 1 species
GGAGGGAUAGACCUAACAGGCAAGGCAGCGGUCUUGAAAACCGCCGGGUGCAAACCCAUGGGGGUUCGAAUCCCCCUCCCUCCGCCA